rnacentral:rRNA from 1 species
AACGCGAAGAACCUUACCAGCCCUUGACAUCCCGGUCGCGGUUUCCAGAGAUGGAUACCUUCAGUUCGGCUGGACCGGUGACAGGUGCUGCAUGGCUGUCGUCAGCUCGUGUCGUGAGAUGUUGGGUUAAGUCCCGCAACGAGCGCAACCCUCGCCCUUAGUUGCCAGCAUUAAGUUGGGCACUCUAAGGGGACUGCCGGUGAUAAGCCGAGAGGAAGGUGGGGAUGACGUCAAGUCCUCAUGGCCCUUACGGGCUGGGCUACACACGUGCUACAAUGGUGGUGACAGUGGGCAGCGAGACCGCGAGGUCGAGCUAAUCUCCAAAAGCCAUCUCAGUUCGGAUUGCACUCUGCAACUCGAGUGCAUGAAGUUGGAAUCGCUAGUAAUCGCGGAUCAACAUGCCGUGGUGAAUACGUUCCCGGGCCUUGUACACACCG